CGGGGAGUAGCGCAGUUGGCUAGCGCACUUGCUUUGGGAGCAAGGGGUCGAGGGUUCAAAUCCCUCCUCCCCGA
rnacentral:tRNA from 1 species